CGGUGCUGGGUAGGAUCGAACCUGCGUGAUAUAUAAUCAGACAAUCUUGUCUGAACGUAUAUUCACACAAGCGCCAGCCGCGGACUUUGCGGCGAUGCCGCUGAAUGAUGCAACGUGAUGCGAUGAGCUACCAAGACGGAAACAGACGACGCACAUAGGAAACUUGGAUAAUAAGCUUCCGCAUUGGGAAAUGGUGACUGGUGCUACCCCGGUUUGUUCGAAACACUUCAUUCGGGACGACGUUUUCAUCCCGGCGAGUACAGAAUUACUUUCUUUGUACUUGUUUUAAAUAACUUGCUGGCGUUUCAAAUCGCGGUGUGUACUUUGUUUAGGAAGGUGCUUUAAUAAAUUUCAUAGAGUGAUGCACGCUAAAGCUUCAUUUGUUUUAGUUCUUUGUAGUUUUCUCUCCCAUCAUAAGGAUUACUAAUGCUUUAAGCAGCAGCAAUAUUCCUGCUAAUGAAGCUUUUGUGUGCUGCAAGGUCUGAAGUUGAUCACGACGCAUGUUAUGCCGAGGUGGCAUAUCGUUUUCAUGGCAUGCUUUAGCUUUGCAGCGUUCGACCUGCGCACAGCGCCGCUAGUUGGCUUUCCGACACUGUGCACACCGCUAAAUUCCUUUACAAUUGGUUAAAUUUGUUUCCAUUAAAUCAUGCAUUUACACUAAUACAAGUGACCUUGCUCAAAAGAAAACCCUUGCUAUAUUUUGGAAGACGAUUGGAAGAAACUCAACUUGGUCCGACUGGUUGUUAUUCUCACGUUUCAUCGGGGUUUGAAUUCCUACGUGCCGCAGGUGUCUGCUGUGUUCCCAAGCCCGGGCCCUACCUCGUACACUGUGUACUGCGAGCAUGAACAAC
rnacentral:lncRNA from 1 species